GGCGGCGUGGAUAAGACAUGCNAGUCGAACGCGACUUAUCGUAUUAGCAAUAAUAUGGUAAGUUGAGUGGCGAAAGGGUGCGUAACACGUGGGAAUUUACCAAGAAGUGGGGAAUAGCUCGACGAAAGUCGAAUUNAUNCCGCAUGUGAUCGAAAGAUCNANGUCGGGGACCGCAAGGCCUGACGCUUUUUGAGAAGCCCGCGGCCCAUCAGCUAGUUGGCGGGGUAAAAGCCCACCAAGGCUAUGACGGGUAGCUGGUCUGAGAGGACGACCAGCCACACUGGAACUGAGACACGGUCCAGACACCUACGGGUGGCAGCAGUCGAGAAUUUUUCACAAUGGACGAAAGUCUGAUGGAGCGACGCCGCGUGGAGGAUGAAGGUUUUCGGAUUGUAAACUCCUGUCACUGCAGAACAAGGAUAUGCUCGUUAACAGCGAAUGUAUUUGAUGGUAUGCGGAGAGGAAGGGACGGCUAACUCUGUGCCAGCAGCCGCGGUAAGACAGA
rnacentral:rRNA from 1 species